CAGUCGCCGCGGUAAUACGUAGGUGGCAAGCGUUGUCCGGAAUUAUUGGGCGUAAAGGGCGCGCAGGCGGCUUCUUAAGUUUGUCUUAAAAGUGCGGGGCUUAACCCCGUGAUGGGAUGGAAACUGGGAAGCUCAGAGUAUCGGAGAGGAAAGCGGAAUUCCUGGUGUAGCGGUGAAAUGCGUAGAUAUUGGGAAGAACACCAGUGGCGAAGGCGGCUCACUGGACCGACACUGACGCUGAGGCGCGAAAGCGUGGGGAGCAAACAGGAUUAGAUACCCCAGUAGUCCCUGUCUCUUAUAC
rnacentral:rRNA from 1 species